rnacentral:rRNA from 1 species
GACGAACGCUGGCGGCGUGCUUAACACAUGCAAGUCGAACGGAAAGGCCCUGCUCUUGUUGGUUGCUUGAUUGCCGAACGGGUGAGUAACACGUGUGUAACCUGCCCUUGACUUUGGGAUAACUUCUGGAAACUGGGGCUAUUAUCCGAUAGGAUCUCCUGCUCCAUGUUGGGGGUUGGUAAGUUUCGGCGGUUGGGGAUGGACUCGCUGCUUAUCCGCUUGUUGGUGGGGUAGUUGCUUACCAAGGCUUUGACGGGUAGCCGGCCUGGGAGGCUGACCGGGGACAUUGGGACUGAGAGAGGGAACAGAAGCGUACGGGAGGCAGCAGUGGGGAAUAUUACGGAAUGGGGGGAAGCCUGAGGCAGAAACGCCGCGUGCGGGAUGACGGGCUUCGGGUUGUAAACAGAUUUGGAAGGUGACGAAGAGUGAGUGACGGUAAUGGGUAAAGAAGCACCGGCUAACUACGUG